GCCGGUGUGGCGGAAUGGCAGACGCGGCAGACUCAAAAUCUGUUGAUGGUGACAUUGUGCGGGUUCAAGUCCCGCCGCCGGCA
rnacentral:tRNA from 1 species